rnacentral:rRNA from 1 species
CAGUAGCCGCGGUAAUAUGUAGGUCCCGAGCGUUGUCCGGAUUUAUUGGGCGUAAAGCGAGCGCAGGCGGUUAGAUAAGUCUGAAGUUAAAGGCAUUGGCUCAACCAAUGUAUGCUUUGGAAACUGUUAGACUUGAGUGCAGAAGGGGAGAGUGGAAUUCCAUGUGUAGCGGUGAAAUGCGCAGAUAUAUGGAGGAACACCGGUGGCGAAAGCGGCUCUCUGGUCUGUCACUGACGCUGAGGCUCGAAAGCGUGGGUAGCGAACAGGAUUAGAUACCCGCGUAGUCCCUGUCUCUUAUACA